GUAAUCUUGCAUACUAUUUUCUGCAGCAUUGAAUUGCAACUUUUAAGCUUUACAAUAUAGGUUUUUUGCUAUACAUAAUUUAAACCUCACAAGUCUUGCUGCUUCUCUACGAACAAGAAAUAAGAGAGCAAAAUGAUUAUUAUUCCCUAGUCCCUACCCUGCCUUACAAGUAACUUGUUCGUUCUUAUUAUUGUCAAACAACGAAAACCUUACAGACUAGAGGAGUUCCAGCUAGCAUCAACAGCCUUGAUAAUCUUGUCGUGUAAUUUGGCCCCAGCACAAGCAAUUAUGCCUCGAUCAAGACCUUCUAAGUACAUGCCCUUUGAGAAGUCCAAUGGACGCCCUCCAGCAUCAGUAACCACACCACCUGCCUCUUCUAUGAUGACAACACCAGCUGCAUGAUCCCAAAUCUUCUCCUUGUAGCCAGCCCUUGCAAACUUCAUAAAAACCUCUGCAUCUCCUCGAGCUAUAGCUGCAUACUUCACCAUGCUGUACACACGUAGUGGUUGCAUUCUGAGCCCUACACUGUGAGCUAGUCCUGCUGUGAAGGAAUGGCUUGAAUUUGCCUUUUCAACUGGUUCACAAAAGGUAGCCAGUGCUGGAUUGUCGAUGGAGGAUACUUGAACUGGCCUUGCGGAGUUUGGCCACACUAGCUUCUUUUGUCCCUGGAGUAGGGGUUGCAUCCAAGCCUCUCCACUUCCUUUCCUCGUAUAAAUCACACAGCCUUUGUCCCAAGAUUCAGAUGUUGGUGGGGUUAACUUAGAUAUAAUUCUAUGAUAGCGGUGGUGAUAAUUUAACCAUUCUUUCCUCAUUGGAUAGUUAGGGCAACCAAGAACCCCAAGCACGACCUCUCCAUCUUCUAUCAAUGCUAAAGCUACAGCAUAUUGAUCUCCACGCACGAAACCCAACGUACCAUCAACAGGAUCAAGGGCCCAAAAUCUUCCAGUAGGACCCCCAGUUGAGUUGCAAUGACUGAUGGCUUCAAGAACCUCUGCUGUGGUGAGAAACAUUUGUGGAGCUUUAAGACCAAAGCGGGGUGCUUCAGACAGGCAUUCAUUCACAGUUUGCACUACAGCUUCUAACAGGCCAGCCUUAUCAGCCUUGGAGAGGGUUCGAACAUCUUCCUCAGCAACUAUUGAGACAUUCCUAUUCCCUAGGGACUCAGAUAGUAUCCAGCUGACAGUGGCUUGGACGCUCCAAUCUGCUACAGUGACAAGUGAAUUAUCGUCCUUGGCUUGGACCUGACUGUUGGCUUUAGAAAUCAUACUGUCCUGCACUUUCUGGCAAAGAGAACAUGCCAUCUGCACAGCUCUGACAGCAAUAUCCAUUUCUUUGGAGUAUUUUUCAGGUUGUGGAGAUGAAAGAUCCAAGCUUUUUAGGUCCUCCAUUAUUGAAGAAGUAAAACUUUGGCUCUGGUUUAACUUGGAAAGAGAGACAAUUUGGAGAGAGCUGUUUUGGUAAGUUCUUUUGCAAGCGAAAAAGCAGAAAAAUUUCCCUACAUAGUUGGGCGUGUAAAUUCUUCCUUGUCCCAGGAUAUGUGGGACUUUAGCAGCCAGGCUCGAGCAAUUUAAAGGCAUCUCUCUGGUCUCGUGUGUUUGUAUGAUUAUGCGUGGUCUGUGACGUUGAUAAGAGGGGACUUAAACUAUAGACCAAAAGAAAAGAUAAGAAGAGACAAGUUGAAGAAAUUGACCCAUUUUAGAGCAGAUAGCUCUGGCCUCUUGCCUGGACAAUGAACACUGAAUCCUACAAUAAAUGGCAAUGAUUGGAGCUUCUUUCUCCCAUACCAAGCAGAAUUUGGUAGCACACAAGCACCCCUUU
rnacentral:misc_RNA from 1 species